rnacentral:rRNA from 1 species
CCUACGGGAGGCAGCAGUGAGGAAUAUUGGUCAAUGGGCGCGAGCCUGAACCAGCCAAGUAGCGUGAAGGAUGACGGCCCUACGGGUUGUAAACUUCUUUUAUAAAGGAAUAAAGUGAGGCACGUGUGCCUUUUUGUAUGUACUUUAUGAAUAAGGAUCGGCUAACUCCGUGCCAGCAGCAGCGGUAAUUCGGAGGAUCCGAGCGGUAUCCGGAUUGAUUGGGUUUAAAGGGAGCGUAGAUGGGUUGUUAAGUCAGUUGUGAAAGUUUGUGGAUCAACCGUAAAAUUGCAAUUGAUACUGGCAAUCUUGAGUACAGUUGAGGUAGGCGGAAUUCGUGGUGUAGCGGGUAAAUGCUUAGAUAUCACGAAGAACUCCGAUUGCGAAGGCAGCUUACUAAACUGCCACUGACAUUGAUGCUCGAAAGUGUGGGUAUCAAACAGGAUUAGAUACCCGAGUAGUC